rnacentral:rRNA from 1 species
UACGUAGGGGGCAAGCGUUGUCCGGAAUCAUUGGGCGUAAAGCGCGCGUAGGCGGCCCGGUAAGUCCGUUGUGAAAGUCGGGGGCUCAACCCUCGAAUGCCGGUGGAUACUGUCGGGCUAGAGUGCGGAAGAGGCGAGUGGAAUUCCUGGUGUAGCGGUGAAAUGCGCAGAUAUCAGGAGGAACACCAAUUGCGAAGGCAGCUCGCUGGGACGUGACUGACGCUGAGGCGCGAAAGCGUGGGGAGCAAACAGG